rnacentral:rRNA from 1 species
UACGAAGGGGGCUAGCGUUGUUCGGAAUCACUGGGCGUAAAGGGCGCGUAGGCGGCUUUGUAAGUCAGGGGUGAAAUCCUGGAGCUCAACUCCAGAACUGCCUUUGAUACUGAGGAUCUUGAGUUCGGGAGAGGUGAGUGGAACUGCGAGUGUAGAGGUGAAAUUCGUAGAUAUUCGCAAGAACACCAGUGGCGAAGGCGGCUCACUGGCCCGAUACUGACGCUGAGGCACGAAAGCGUGGGGAGCAAACAGG